GACGAACGCUGGCGGCGUGCUUAACACAUGCAAGUCGAACGGAAAGGCCCCUUUGGGGGUACUCGAGUGGCGAACGGGUGCGUAACACGUGAGUAACCUGCCCUUGACUUCGGGAUAACUUCAGGAAACUGGGGCUAAUACCGGAUAGGAAUCCUUGCUGCAUGGUGGGGGUUGGAAAGCUUCGGCGGUUUUGGAUGGACUCGCGGCUUAUCAGCUUGUUGGUGGGGUAGUGGCUUACCAAGGCUUUGACGGGUAGCCGGCCUGAGAGGGCGACCGGCCACAUUGGGACUGAGAUACGGCCCAGACUCCUACGGGAGGCAGCAGGGGGGAAUAUUGCACAAUGGGCGGAAGCCUGAUGCAGCAACGCCGCGUGCGGGAGGACGGCCUUCGGGUUGUAAACCGCUUUCAGCAGGGGCGAAGCUUGUGGUGACGGUACCUGAAGAAGAAGCACCGGCUAACUACGUG
rnacentral:rRNA from 1 species